rnacentral:rRNA from 1 species
CACGUGGGUGAUCUGCCCUGCACUUUGGGAUAAGCCUGGGAAACUGGGUCUAAUACCGAAUACACCCUGCUGGUCGCAUGGCCUGGUGGGGGAAAGCUUUUGCGGUGUGGGAUGGGCCCGCGGCCUAUCAGCUUGUUGGUGGGGUGAUGGCCUACCAAGGCGACGACGGGUAGCCGGCCUGAGAGGGUGUCCGGCCACACUGGGACUGAGAUACGGCCCAGACUCCUACGGGAGGCAGCAGUAGGGAAUAUUGCACAAUGGGCGCAAGCCUGAUGCAGCGACGCCGCGUGAGGGAUGACGGCCUUCGGGUUGCAAACCCCUUUCGCAACCGACGAAGCUUUUGUGACGGUAGGUUGAGAAGAAGCACCGGCUAACUACGUG